GAAACUCUGUGUGUUCGUGAAGCGAGUAAACCGGAGAAUUUCACCGGCGAACAGUUCAUAUAUCCAGUUUGUGCGUUCGAGUUUGAUCAACAAAUGGAGGCUGCAGUAGCGGCAGUAGUGCAACAUCCUGUCCCUGCACAAGUUGUUGGAAAUGCUUUUGUGCAGCAGUAUUAUCAUAUUCUGCACCAUUCUCCUGGACUGGUUUUUAGGUUUUAUCAGGAUAUAAGCAAACUUGGACGACCUGAAGAUGAUGGCUCAAUGAGCAUCACCACUACUAUGGAAGCAAUCAAUCAUAAGAUACUCUCACUAAACUAUGGGGACUUCAGAGCGGAGAUUAAGUCUGUGGAUUCGCAAGAAUCCUUUAAUGGGGGAGUGCAUGUCUUUGUGACUGGAUCUUUGACUGGGAAUGACACCUUGAUUCGGAAU
rnacentral:misc_RNA from 1 species